rnacentral:tRNA from 1 species
UGGGGUGUAGCUCAUUUGGUAGAGCGCUCGCUUCGCAUGCGAGAGGAUGUCUUAACCAGACACCUAUACAUUUAUAUAUGGUCAAUACACUCCAA